rnacentral:rRNA from 1 species
GAUGAACGCUGGCGGCGUGCCUAAUACAUGCAAGUCGAGCGAACAGACGAUGAUCUUGCUCCUCUGACGUUAGCGGCGGGCGGGUGAGUAACGCGUGUAUAACCUACCUAUAAGACUGGUAUAACUUCGGGAAACCGGAGCUAAUACCGGAUAAUAUAUUGAACCGCAUGGGUCAAUAGUGAAAUACGGUUGUUCUGUCACGUAUAGAUGGAUCCGCGCCGCAUUAGCUAGUUGGGAAGGUAACGGCUUAUCAAGGCUACGAUGCGUGGCCGACCUGAGAGGGUGAUCGGCCACACGGGAAGUGAGACAGGGACCAGACGCCUACGGGAGGGAGCAGUAGCGAAUCUUCCGCAAUGGGCGAAAGCAUGACGGAGCAAGGGCGCGUGAGUGAUGAAGGUCUUCGGAUCGUAAAACUCUGUUAUGAGGGAAGAACCAAUGUGUAAGUAAAUAUGCACGUAUUGACGGUAACUAAUAAGAAAGCCACGGCUAACUACGUG